AUUUAAUGAUGUGGGCAGCUUGCGCACAACUUCUUGAAGCGCUCCCAAUAUUCAUACAAGGUCUCUCCGUUGUACUGUCAAAUGCCACAUAUCUCUUUCCUUAUGCU